rnacentral:rRNA from 1 species
UACAGAGGGGGCAAGCGUUAUUCGGAAUUAUUUGGGCGUAAAGGGCGCGUAGGCGGCUUGGCAAGUGGAUGGUGAAAUCCCUCGGCUUAACCGAGGAACUGCCGUCCAAACUGCUUUGCUUGAGGCCGGGAGAGGCGAGUGGAAUUCCCAGUGUAGCGGUGAAAUGCGUAGAUAUUGUGAGGAAGACCAGUGGCGAAGGCGGGUCUCUGGACAGUUCCUGACACUGAGGCACGAAGGCCAGGGGAGCAAACGGG